CCGUCAUGAAAUUUUGUCCAAUGAUAUUCACAUUUCCACUUUUCACAACACCCAGACAAUAUAUAUUUGUAUUGCCCGGAAGACCAACUAUUACUAGGGGGUCAGUGACAUUAAAUUGGCUUCCACCUUUCAUAACCAGAUUUAGAAUUGGCAGCUCCGGAACAGCUUGAAUUGAGCUCAUCUCAUAACAAUAUUCAAAAGGUAAACCAGGAUCAGAUAAAUAGCGUUUGUCUUUUGCCUGGUUAUUGAAACUCUCAGAUAUAAAAGAAUAGGCAGGAUCAUUUAGGUAUGUAAAUGAGGUACCAGUGUCGAAAAUUGCAGUGAACUCAAGAUUAGAAUCGUUCCCGCCCACAUGUAUUUUACUGAUGCUGAUGUUGUAAGUUGGAUGUGACUGCCUCAGAUUGAAAGGUGUUUCUCCUUGGUCUGAACUUCCUGUAUCUCCAAAACUGAUUCUCCCAACUCCAUCAAGUCCAAAACACAUGGAAAAGGAAUUGGAAGUUAACCCUUCUCUCGCUAAAGUACUAGGAACAGAUUCAUUACUCAUACCAAGCCCAAAUAAGCCAUUGGGAGCCGCACCAUCCAAAAAUGAACCAGUUUGCCUUUGACCACAACCAAAUGUGAUUGUUGCAUUAUGAGCUGUCCUUUGAGUGUCAUCAGUAGUUAAAUGCAAAAAAUCCUCUACCAAGUACCCACUUGAUGAAGUGUUUUCAGAAAGAUAUAAAACUUGAUAAGGACAAACACUUUGAGAGGAGGAGCAUUGCUUUUGUUGUGAACACAAGGAGCUGUUGCAGGGGACUUUUUCGCUUGUUGAUGAGUUAUUAGUGCUGUAGAUAUUAAGCUGUAUUUCCUUUCCAGAUGAAGUUUGCAAGCCACGGACGCAACUUGUACAAUCACAUGGUAACCAGAAGAGAUCACUG
rnacentral:misc_RNA from 1 species